rnacentral:rRNA from 1 species
AUUUCCAACGUCUAACACACAUCGUUUACGGCAUGGACUACGAGGGUAUCUAAUCCUCUUCGCUACCCAUGCUUUCGUUCCUCAGUGUCAGUAAUGAUCCAGAAAGCUGCCUUCGCAAUUGGUAUUCUUUCUAAUAUCUACGAAUUUCACCUCUACACUAGAAAUUCUGCUUUCCUCUAUCAUACUCUAGCUGAAAAGUUUUGAUGGCAGUUCCAGAGUUAAGCUCUGGGAUUUCACCACCAACUUUUUCAACCACCUACGAACUCUUUAAGCCCAGUAAUUCCGAACUACGCUAGGUCCCUUCGUAUUACCGCGGCUGCUGGCACGAAGUUAGCCGGACCUUCUUAUUCGGGUACAGUCAUUUUCUUCCCCGACGAAAGAGCUUUACAACCCAAAGGCCUUCUUCACUCACGCGGCAUCGCUGCAUCAGAGUUUCCUCCAUUGUGCAAGAUUCCCCACUGCUGCCUCCCGUAGGAGUUUGGGCCGUGUCUCAGUCCCAAUGUGGCUGAUCAUCCUCUCAAAUCAGCUAUUGAUCAUAGUCUUGGUAGGCCAUUACCCUACCAACAAACUAAUCAAGUGCGGGCUCAUCCAAUGGUGCAUAAAGCUUUCUCCGUAAAGACUUAUCCGGUAUUAGCACAAGUUUCCUCGUGUUAUUCCAGGCCAAAGGGUAGAUACCCACAUGUUACUCACCCGUCUGCCACUAAGUAUUGCUACUUCGUUCGACUUGCAUGUGUUAGGCGUGCCGCCAGCGUACGUUCUGAGCCAGGAUCAAACUCU